GACAGAAGGAGAGUUAUAUAAUCAAGACUGGAGGAAAGCUGGGUUGUAUGCUGACUGGAGAAAGGAACAUUUCAAAGCAGUGGCUGUUACUGUGGAUCCAGACACAGCUCAUACCAAACCCAUCUCUUAUCUGAGAGUAGAACACAUGUUUCUUCAAUAGAAAAUGUUUCUCAGAACAAUGACGGCCCCACACAGCAGGAGCAAGAGGACACCUUCAGUGUUCUGGGCCAGCAUUGCUUUACCACAGGGAGACAUUGCUGGGAGGCAGAAGUAAAUGUGGGAGCAGAAGGUGGACCUGGAACCUGAUGGGCACUGGGUGUCUGCUCAGAUACAGUGAAGAGAGAGGGGUGGUUUGUAGAAAGUUCAGAAAAGAGUUUCUGAGUGGUGGCAUACAAGGAAGGGGAAGUCAAGGUUCUCACUUCCUAGUCAGAGUCUCUGUCGCUGAGGCAACACCCCCACAGGAUAGGAGUGUUCCUGGACUGGGAGGCUGGGGACAUGGUUGAUGGAUCUUACUUCUAUUCCUUCACUAGAAUCAAAUUCUGUGGGGUCCUCCGUCCUUAUUUUAGCCUUCAGGGUCCUGGUACAUCUGUGGCCAUCUGCUUAGGUUUAGAUCACAUUGAAAAUUGUCCUGAUUCUUCUCCAAAGAGCUCUGCGACUCACUCAAGGAGUUCUAAUAUGGGUGUCCCCCAAGAAGCUAACUCUGUUACCUCAGUAAGAAAUGAAGUGUCAGUCCUUAGGUAUCUCUGAGCUGCCUCCACUCAGGCUUUUGUGGGUGAGAAAGCUGUUGCUGUUUGGAGAGUAGCUCAUUUCCAGUAGAUUAACAUUUUAGCCCCUUUCAAAGAGGAGGCAGAAAGAGGAAUUGGGCCGACUGGAAAAUGGUUGGAGAAUUUCCUCCAAUGUUACCUUUGGGGCAAUGUAGUCUCUUUAUGAGCAGCAACCAUUUGUCACAGAAAACUGCCAACAAAUGCAUGGUAUCUCUUCUGUUCCAUCUCUCAGUGUGUGUUGAAAUAAAUACUAGAAAAUGGAGUACUAUGAAGUUAGAAAAAAGAAAGUAAUCUUACCAUUUGCAACAGUAUGGACAGACCUAGAGAGCAUUAUGCUAAGCAAAAUAAGCCAGUCAGAAAAAGAUAAAUAUCACAUGA